GUAAAAUUGAUGAUGAUCCUUGAUACUGACGGCAUGACUUUUCAGCCGACAGUAGACAUUUUUUUGUUAGUUUACUCCGUGUAAUUGUAAAAAGGAGUCUUAAAUGAUUAGGUUUUUGUAACCCGUUGGUAUUUACAGUGCAGACAUGGAUACAGUUUUUGUUUAUCAUUUUGUGUUAAUAUUAGGAAGGUGUGCUUUAUCCUGUUGAAGUUUGUUGAAUGAAAUUGCAGAUGAUUAUCUAAUAUCAACUUGAAUCAAACAUAUUAAUGGAUUUAUUACGAUUACACUGGAACGUUUCUGUAGAGUUAUUUGAUAACAAGAAAGUGACGUAAAAGUACUUGUGUAGUUAUGCAACACGUGAAAUAAAAAUAUACAAAAAAUUAUAUGAAAAGGAUCUAAAGAUUCCGAGAUUUUGUGCAUGCUGCUUACUAUUUGGUGUGAGAAUAUGAACAUAGUUCCCAAAGGAAUGUACAUUUCUUUAAAGGUAGUAAACUUGUAGCUGUUGUGAUGUGUACUGACAAUUAAGUGAAAUAAAAUAAAAAGACUUCUAGCUAAAUGUUCAGCUGAUUUUUGA